rnacentral:rRNA from 1 species
GGAGUCUAGCAUGCGCGCGAGUCAUUGGGACUAAGCGAAACCUAAAGGCGAAAUGAAAGUGAAGGCUCGCCUCGCGCGAGCCGAGGGAGGAUGGGCCGCGCGCAAUCGCGGCCCCGCACUCCCGGGGCGUCUCGUUCUCAUCGCGAGAAGAGGCGCACCCAGAGCGUGCACGCUGGGACCCGAAAGAUGGUGAACUAUGCCUGGUCAGGACGAAGUCAGGGGAAACCCUGAUGGAGGUCCGUAGCGAUUCUGACGUGCAAAUCGAUCGUCGGAACUGGGUAUAGGGGCGAAAGACUAAUCGAACCAUCUAGUAGCUGGUUCCCUCCGAAGUUUCCCUCAGGAUAGCUGGCGCUCGCUUUUGCGAGUCUCAUCCGGUAAAGCGAAUGAUUAGAGGCAUUGGGGUCGAAACGGCCUCAACCUAUUCUCAAACUUUAAAUGGGUGAGAUCUCCGGCUUGCUUGAACAGUGAAGCCGCGAGAUCGGAUCAGAGUGCCAAGUGGGCCACUUUUGGUAAGCAGAACUGGCGCUGUGGGAUGAACCAAACGCAGAGUUAAAGCGCCUAAAUCGACGCUUAUGGGAUACCAUGAAAGGCGUUGGUAACUUAAGACAGCAGGACGGUGGCCAUGGAA